AUGAACGCUAGCGGUGCGCCUAACACAUGCAAGUCGAGCGUGAGUAUUUUAUAGCUUGCUAUAAAAUAUGGAAGCGGCGAACGGGUGAGUAACACGUUGGUAUCUGCCUUUUGGUCAGGGAUAGCCAUUCGAAAGGAUGAUUAAUACCGGAUAGUCUCGAAAGAGUAAAGAUUUAUCGCCAAAAGAGGAACCUGCGGCCUAUCAGCUAGUUGGUGAGGUAAUAGCUCACCAAGGCUAUGACGGGUAGUUGAUCUGAGAGGAUGAUCAACCACAAUGGAACUGAGACACGGUCCAUACUCUUACGGGAGGCAGCAGUGAGGAAUCUUCCACAAUGGGGGCAACCCUGAGGGAGCGACACCGCGUGAAGGAUGAAGAUCUAACGAUUGGAAACUUCUUUUCUGAGGGAGCAUAAUGAGAGUACCUCAGGAAUAAGGGACGGCUAAAUACGU
rnacentral:rRNA from 1 species